rnacentral:rRNA from 1 species
UACAGAGGUCUCAAGCGUUUGUUCGGAUUCAUUGGGCGUAAAGGGUGCGUAGGCGGCGCGGUAAGUCGGGUGUGAAAUCUCGGAGCUUAACUCCGAAACUGCAUUCGAUACUGCCGUGCUUGAGGACUGGAGAGGAGACUGGAAUUUACGGUGUAGCGGUGAAAUGCGUAGAUAUCGUAAGGAAGACCAGUGGCGAAGGCGGGUCUCUGGACAGUUCCUGACACUGAGACACGAAGGCCAGGGGGAGCAAAACGGGG